UACAGAGGGGGCAAGCGUUAUUCGGAAUUACUGGGCGUAAAGGGCUCGUAGGUGGCCAACUAAGUCGGACGUGAAAUCCCUCGGCUUAACCGGGGAACUGCGUCCGAUACUGGUUGGCUUGAGUUUGGGAGAGGGAUGCGGAAUUCCAGGUGUAGCGGUGAAAUGCGUAGAUAUCUGGAGGAACACCGGUGGCGAAGGCGGCUUCUGGACAGAUACCGACGCUGAGGCACGAAAGCUAGGGGAGCAAACAGG
rnacentral:rRNA from 1 species